AUUGAACGCUGGCGGCAGGCCUAACACAUGCAAGUCGAGCGGAUGAAGAGAGCUUGUUCCCUGAUUUAGCGGCGGACGGGUGAGUAAUGCCUAGGAAUCUGCCUGGUAGUGGGGGAUAACGUCCGGAAACGGGCGCUAAUACCGCAUACGUCCUACGGGAGAAAGCAGGGGACCUUCGGGCCUUGCGCUGUCAGAUGAGCCUAGGUCGGAUUAGCUAGUUGGUGAGGUAAUGGCUCACCAAGGCUACGAUCCGUAACUGGUCUGAGAGGAUGAUCAGUCACACUGGAACUGAGACACGGUCCAGACUCCUACGGGAGGCAGCAGUGGGGAAUAUUGGACAAUGGGCGAAAGCCUGAUCCAGCCAUGCCGCGUGUGUGAAGAAGGUCUUCGGAUUGUAAAGCACUUUAAGUUGGGAGGAAGGGCAGUAAGUUAAUACCUUGCUGUUUUGACGUUACCGACAGAAUAAGCACCGGCUAACUUCGUGCCAGCCGCCGCGGUAAAAC
rnacentral:rRNA from 1 species